rnacentral:lncRNA from 1 species
CUUUAAAAAAAAAGUUUUUCUACAAAAUUUCUAAGCAGUAAGUGGUAUUUCGGAGGUUUUUAGAGAGCUAUCCCUUGGAGAUACGUAAUAAAAGUUUGUAAGAAGGGUGAUUGUUUUAAAAGUUUCUAGUGAUACAAGUAGAAAGCUCCUGUGGUAAAUAUACCCGUUUGUAAAGUAUAUGUAUUUGUAUAUUCACACUGGUGCAAUCUUUUAGUAGAGUUUUGGGAAUGCCAUACAGGAU